rnacentral:pre_miRNA from 13 species
UGGCCUGCCCCGUCUGGAAGACCGGUGAUUUUGUUGUUGUCUCUCUGUGCUCAACAACAAGUCCCAGUCUGCCACGCGGUGCGGGCCC